rnacentral:rRNA from 1 species
CCUACGGGUGGCAGCAGUCGAGAAUCAUUCACAAUGGGGGAAACCCUGAUGGUGCGACGCCGCGUGGGGGAAUGAAGGUCUUCGGAUUGUAAACCCCUGUCAUGUGGGAGCAAAUUAAAAAGAUCGUACCCCAAGAGGAAGAGACUGCUAACUCUGUGCCAGCAGCCGCGGUAAUACAGAGGUCUCAAGCGUUGUUCGGAAUCACUGGGCGUAAAGCGUGCGUAGGCUGUUUCGUAAGUCGUGUGUGAAAGGCGCGGGCUCAACCCGCGGACGGCACAUGAUACUGCGAGACUAGAGUAAUGGAGGGGGAACCGGAAUUCUCGGUGUAGCAGUGAAAUGCGUAGAUAUCGAGAGGAACACUCGUGGCGAAGGCGGGUUCCUGGACAUUAACUGACGCUGAGGCACGAAGGCCAGGGGAGCGAAAGGGAUUAGAUACCCUGGUAGUC